CUACAAAAACUAGUUUUUGCGUCGGUCAACGCUACUAUUCACAGCGUUGACCGACGUGAAUAGUGUGCAAAAGAUAGGACUGUCGCUUACUAAACGCCAUUAAAAAAUAUUGAUUUGCGUCGUAUAGUAAAAUGACGCUACAAAUAAAACUGACGGCAAAGAAAGCAAAGAAAAAUUAAAAAUGGAGAUCUUAUCUCGUCGGUUAAUUGUAAUCGAGUAAAAGUUUUGUCAGCUUUUAAAAUUGACGAGAAAUAAAAUAGCGAGGAACAACUUCUAAAUCCCUAAACCCCCAAAUCGAUCCCACUGUUCACAUUCGUCUUCAAUCGUUUUGAAGACAAAAAAGCUCUGAGGAUUUGCCUUCUUCGACCCAUUGUCGAUCCUCCAUCGUCGACCGCUCCGCUCUCCUCUUCGUCUCCAUUGUCGAUCCUCCACCGUCAACCACUCUGCUUCUCUUUCCCUUACAACCCUCACAUUACCCUUUUUCUUUGACCCUCGAUAACUCUUCUUCUAAAUCUUCACUUGGAUUGUGAUUUUUCUGUGUAACUUUUUGUAUUAUGCUUAAUUGCUAUAAUAUAUAUAUAUAUUCACCCUCGCGGUAACCCUUUGCCCAAAACACUCCAUCGUCUCCUAAGUACUGAACGAAGUAGAUCUUCCCUUUCUCGGCAGCCACCUUCAUGGAGCCUCACUCUGUCUCAUAGUCUCUACGAAGUUUUAAUUAGGUGAUUAUAGCUUCCCUUCUCCUUGAAUAACUGGGCAAAGUGGUGCUUGGAGUAAAGAAUUCCAUCCAAAGCAGCAUAGGAUGAUGUUGACAGGAAGCAACCACCAUGAUUACACGUAAAGCAUGACUUGUGGUAAAACUCUCCCUCCAUAGUUACGUGUUGUAAACAACAACACAAAAUACAAUGUGGCCCAGACGUUUGAUUAUUUGUCACAAUGAAAAAAGUUAUCAAUUCUCAUUAAUGACUUAAGUGGUGAACUCCAAAGCCUAAAAUUACAAUUGGGAUUUGAUGAAAUUGAAUGGGAAUUAUUGAUUUCAAUUGGCCAUUGCAGCUCUUAUAUAUACUCUGGUCGAAGAUCAGGGUAUACAAAAGCUAAAGGAUUAGAGAUGUCAACUGCCAAGAAGCUUCUUCCAGUGUCAUUGUUCUAUAAUGCUAAUGUGGCAUUUGCCUUGGCAAGCUUGAAGGGAGUUAAUAUUCCAAUGUACAUUGCUAUAAAGGGACUCACACCACUCGCAGUUUUGAUUGACGGGUUCUUCUCAGGAAAGGGAAGACCUACAACACAGGUAUGUUAUGAUGCUUAGACUAUUUUCAAUUCAGUUUAGGUUGUUUGUACAAGUGUAUCUAAGAAAAUUUAUAUUCUCACUUUGUGUGGAUAUGGAAUAUUGUCAAUUGUGAAAUAUUUCAUGGAUUACAAUGACUAGAUUGGAGUAAGUAGGACUUACUCAUAUCAUAUGUGGAAAGUGAUAAUUGCUGGAAAUAUUUGAAAAGAAGAGAAGAAAUUUUUUUAGAGUUUGUAUAGUUUAAUUUGAAAAAAGAGGUUGUAUAUUUAUUGUUCCUUUUGUUGUAAUAUAAAGGAUAUAUAUUAAUGUCAGGAUGCAUUGACAAUCA